GACGAACGCUGGCGGCGUGCUUAACACAUGCAAGUCGAACGGAAAGGCCCUGCUUUUGUGGGGUGCUCGAGUGGCGAACGGGUGAGUAACACGUGAGUAACCUGCCCUUGACUUUGGGAUAACUUCAGGAAACUGGGGCUAAUACCGGAUAGGAGCUCCUGCUGCAUGGUGGGGGUUGGAAAGUUUCGGCGGUUGGGGAUGGACUCGCGGCUUAUCAGCUUGUUGGUGGGGUAGUGGCUUACCAAGGCUUUGACGGGUAGCCGGCCUGAGAGGGUGACCGGCCACAUGGGGACUGAGGGACGGCCCAGACGCCUACGGGAGGCAGCAGUGGGGAACAUGGCACAAUGGGCGGGAGCCUGAUGCAGCGACGCUGGGUGCGAGAUGACGGCCUGCGGGUUGUAAACCGCUUUCGCCUGUGACGAAGCGUGAGUGACGGUAAUGGAUGAAGAAGCACCGGCUAACUACGUG
rnacentral:rRNA from 1 species